GUUAGAAAAAUUCAAAUUUAAAUCUUCCUCAAAAUAACGUUAAAACCUCAAACGAUGGAUGAAAAAUGUGCUUUAGGAGCUGAACUAUAUUAAUUGAUACUUUUGGAAGCAAACUAAACGGUUUUAGGUAAGAUUUCCACCAACAAAAAAUCUCUGUCAAAAUUUCAAGGUUAUGUUGUCUCGGUGAACUAAACGAUGGUUAAUUUUAUCACAACGUACAUUGGAGUACACGCCAAAUUUCAUCAAUGAGUAAAGUUAGAAAAAUUCAAUUUUAAAUCAACGAUUUCUUCAAAAUAACGUUAAAACAUCAAAGGAUGGAUGAAAAAUGUGCUUUAGGAGCUGAAUUAUAUUAAUUGACACUUUUGGAAGCAAACUAAACGGAUUUAGAUAAGAUUUCCACCAAUAAAGAAUCUGUCAAAAUUUCAAGGUUAUGUUCUCUCGUUUCUAAAUGAGACGUGAUUUCGACGUCGUCAUGAAACGAUUCAGGACGAGGACCAUGUCCUUCAAU
rnacentral:lncRNA from 1 species